rnacentral:rRNA from 1 species
UACGUAGGGUGCGAGCGUUGUCCGGAAUUAUUGGGCGUAAAGAGCUCGUAGGCGGUGUGUCACGUCGGCCGUGAAAACCUGCAGCUCAACUGCAGGCUUGCGGUCGAUACGGGCAGGCUCGAGUUCGGUAGGGGAGACUGGAAUUCCUGGUGUAGCGGUGAAAUGCGCAGAUAUCGGGAAGAACACCCGUGGCGAAGGCGGCUCGCUGGGCCACACCUGACGCUGAGACGCGAAAGCGUGGGGGAGCAAACAGGG